UCUCCGUUGGUGAACCAGCGGAGGGAUCAUUACCGAGUUUACAACUCCCAAACCCCUGUGAACAUACCAUUUGUUGCCUCGGCGGUGCCUGCUUCGGCAGCCCGCCAGAGGACCCAAACCCUUGAUUUUAUGCAGUAUCUUCUGAGUAAAUGAUUAAAUAAAUCAAAACUUUCAACAACGGAUCUCUUGGUUCUG
rnacentral:misc_RNA from 1 species